rnacentral:rRNA from 1 species
CUUGGUCAUUUAGAGGAAGUAAAAGUCGUAACAAGGUCUCGUAGGUGACCGCGCGGAGGGAUCAAUAUCGAACCUGGCCCCCUGGCCACGUCUACCUUGCAAACCCGUGGAACGGAACCGUGCUUCGGCGCCUCGGCGUCGAGUUUAUGCUGCAGUUGGUAGUUUGCGUCUGAAUCAAACCGAAGACAUAAAACUUUCAACAGAGGAUCUCUUGGCUCUUGUAUCGAUGAUGAACGCAGCAAAGCGCGAAAUGUAGUGAACAUAGCAGCACAAUUGUGAAUCAUCGAAUCUUUGAACGCACAUUGCGCCUCCGGUAGCUCGGAGGCAUGCCUGUCUGAGCGUCAUUUAAAACCAUGGACCCAGGAUUGGGUCCGUAUUGGGCGUCGCCCCCCUCUCCGAAGUGGCGCGUGGCCUCAAAGACAUUGGUCUCACAUGCGGGACGAGCUCCCCUGGGACAGACCGCGUGGAGACCCUAAGCAUCUGACUUUGAUCUCAGAUCAGGUAGGACUACCGCCUGAACUUAAGCAUAUCAAUAAGCGGAGGA